rnacentral:rRNA from 1 species
GACGAACGCUGGCGGCGUGCUUAACACAUGCAAGUCGAACGGAAAGGCCCUGCUUUUGUGGGGUGCUCGAGUGGCGAACGGGUGAGUAACACGUGAGUAACCUGCCCUUGACUUUGGGAUAACUUCAGGAAACUGGGGCUAAUACCGGAUAGGAGCUCCUGCUGCAUGGUGGGGGUUGGAAAGUUUCGGCGGUUGGGGAUGGACUCGCGGCUUAUCAGCUUGUUGGUGGGGUAGUGGCUUACCAAGGCUUUGACGGGUAGCCGGCCUGAGAGGGUGACCGGCCACAUUGGGACUGAGAUACGGCCCAGACUCCUACGGGAGGCAGAAGUGGGGUAUAUUGCACAAUGGGCGGAAGCCUGAUGCAGCAACGCCGCGUGCGGGAUGACGGCCUUCGGGUUGUAAACCGCUUUCGCCUGUGACGAAGCGUGAGUGACGGUAAUGGGUAAAGAAGCACCGGCUAACUACGU